rnacentral:snRNA from 1 species
AUUGUUCCUGGGUUUUUCGGCUGUUCUUAUCAAAUUGAUCUUCGAUAGAGAUUCGAAUGAAUCGCGUUAAGGUUAUUUGAUCUUUAGGACCGGAUGGGUUUACGGGCCUGCUUGGAACUCAUCACAGGUCGGCUCAUCGUUGCACUGCUGCUGGUAUCGGCGCACCCCAA